rnacentral:rRNA from 1 species
GUGGUAAUUCUAGAGCUAAUACAUGCACCAAAGCUCUGACUUGAUGGGACGAGCGCAUUUAUUAGACCAAAACCAAUCGGGCUUUGGCCCGUUUGUUGGUGACUCUGAAUAACUCCGCAGAUCGCACGGUCUCGCACCGGCGACAUAUCUUUCAAGUGUCUGCCUUAUCAACUGUCGAUGGUAGUUUAUGUGCCUACCAUGGUUGUAACGGGCCCGGAUUUUCAGGGAACGACUCCGGAGAGGGAGCCUUAGAGAUAGCUACCACAUCCAAGGAAGGCAGCAGGCGCGCAAAUUACACACUCUCAGCACGAGGAUGUAGUGACGAAAAAUAACGAGGCGGAUCUCUUUGAGUUCCGUUAUCGGAAUGAGAACAAUUCAAAUCCUUUAACGAGGAUCUAGCGGAGGGCAAGUCUGGUGCCAGCAGCCGCGGUAAUUCCAGCUCCGCAGGUGUAUAUCUAUGCUGCUGCGGUUAAAAAGCUCGUAGUUGGAUCUGCGUGCUCGGAACCGGUUGGCUCAUUGAGUUCAAACUGGUCUCCGGCGCUUUGUUGGCUGGUUUUCCCUUGAUGCUCUUAACCGGGUGUCUUGGGUGGCUAGCGAGUUUACUUUGAAAAAAUUAGAGUGCUCAAUACAGGCGCAAGGCCUUGAAUAGUGGUGCAUGGAAUAAUAGAAUAGGACCUCGGUUCUAUUUUGUUGGUUUUCGGAAUGCGAGGUAAUGAUUAAGAGGGACAGACGGGGGCAUUCGUA